ACUAAAUGAAGACUAAAACCACCAAAAUUUCCAGCAGCCCUCACCUUCACAAAUGCUCACCCGUAGCUCUCAAAUCCCAUAGCCAAACUUCCAUUGAUUUUCAACCAAAGCUCACUUUCUCUCUUCUUUUCACCAUAAACCCUAAACCCCUUUCAUUAAAAGUUGUCCACUCAUCUUGGGGAAGUGUUUGGCAACCUAGAAAGUGAAGGAAAGUGAAGUUUUGAGUGGGGAAAAAUCUGCCCAAACAAGGUACUGGAGAUCCCGAUCGUGAGCCCAGUAGACCACAGACUGGGUGAGUCCAUCUGACAGUUCUGCUCAGUGUCUGUGUCACCUCACUACCUGCAGUGCAUCGGUAGGGCACUAGGUGUCAUUUUGUCAUUUUGAUAUUUUGUAGCAGAUUUGUAUUUUCUCAUAUGUAUUUGAACUCAUGUAAUAUAUUUUGAUGUUUAUGUAAAUAAUGAAAGUUAUGACUAUGAAUGCAAGAUUUGAGCAUGUAUUUAUUGCU